AUCCAGAUGACGAGUCCCAGAAUAGGACGGAAUCUGUAUCCUGGAU
rnacentral:hammerhead_ribozyme from 1 species